UUCAUUACAAAGAAGAACACAGUGGCAAGGGAGCUCCAGGUGCAUUCUGGGGAAGCCGCAGGCUAUAGGAAGCUCCCGGUGCAUUCUGGGAAAAGCCGUAGGCUAUUGGGUUGCCACUCUUCCCAUCAGAUUACUUCUUUCUUCGUUACCAAUUAGCACGGUGGCGGAGGCUCAUGGUCUGGUCCAGGUCUCACAGCUAAUAUGAGGCAAAGGAUGAUUUGGAAAAGGCCGCUUGCCUCUCCUGUAGGCUCUCCCCAGCAGCUUCUGAAGUGAUUCCGUGUGACUCAGACCAUCCCUUGGUCCCUCAGCUCCUGCAAAACACAUCAGAAGGACGCUCAAAGUUGAAGAAAGCUCAAGAGAACCAUCAGGCACUGAAGACUGAAGUCAUUUUGGAGUAGCAGCUUUGUGACCAGCACUGUGUUUCCGAGGAGUGUCUAUGCCUUGCAUUUAAUCCUAACAGCAACUCUGCAAGGGACCUUCUCUUAUCUGUGAUGGGGAGAGGAGGUUCAUCAGAAAGAAUAAGGUUCAUCUGUGUGCAUGGUCGCUCACAGAGAACAGAAUCUCCUGCUGCUGACAUCCGGCUGUUCCCUCCCAGGCUCUUCUCAGGGAGCUGCAAGAGAAAAGGAUUGUUUUGGCUUAAGAAGACAAAAGACAC
rnacentral:lncRNA from 1 species